GCCGGUGUGGCUCAGUAGGUAGAGCGUCGGCCUGGGGACUGAAGUGUCCCAGGUUCAAUUCCGGUCAUGGGCA
rnacentral:tRNA from 1 species